GUAACGCAGUCCCUGCCCCAAAGAGCGAAAGGCCUGGAUGCACAAAAAGGGGUCGGUGCCUCAUUCCCUGUGUUGGACACGUAAGCCCCAGUCUCAGGACCAAUGUGAGGCACAAAACUCCCACUGAGCCCUGCAGUGCUGAGGCGCCUCACCUGGGCUGCGGGAGACCCCUGGCUCAAGUCCCCAAGGGGCAACGGGAUUUGAACAAGAAUCUGCCACCUCGCAGCAUUUUCACCGAGCAGGCUGAACGAGCAGGAUGUGCUUUUCUUGGAUGGACAUGGCUGAGAGAAACGACCGGCACAUGAGUCUGCAUGGACAGCAGGGCAUGGAGCCUGUGCCACAAGAGAUGAAUUAACUAGACCAAUAGGCUGGCCUAGCAGGGAUACCAAACCCUUGGCCUCUGCUGAGGUUCCCAGCUGCAGGGUUUCUUGGCGCUGAUCAUGAUGGAGGUUCUGUGAUAUGGACACUUGUCUGCUAGGAGCUGGAGUGUGACAACCAAGCAGGUCUCUGAUCAGAUUUGAUCUAUGUGCUCCAUUACCAGUCCCCUGAAUAAUGCAGGCCCCAGGACAUGCCAACCUAACUUCUAAAAGAAGACAGUUGAAUGGGAGCCCAUGAGCGUAACUCCUAAGUCAGCUGGAGGAUUGCUGCUUCUGCCUUCUGGACCAAGGUCGCUGCCUUCCAGUAAUUCCAACAUCUGCAGCUUGGGAUACAGAAGAUCAUAACUGAGAGUCAAGCCCAGGCCUUAUGUUUGGGGCAAUAAAUAAGAUAUUGUUAUGCUGGAAGAUGCUGAUGGCGGCCAUCAAGUUGGUCUUUGAUCUAGAGACAAUU